GGGGUAGAAGGAGAAAGAAAGAAUGGGAGGGGCCGGUAGGAGGCAGGAACCAUGCAAAGCCCACCGAUUUGUGUGGUCUAGAUACGGCUCACAGCUGCUCCAUAGGAAAGUUCUGUGGAACCACUGCUCUCUGUAUUGCGUAUACACACAUAACCCUAAUCCCAGGCCAUGCCUGAGGCCCUGGACCUCAGCCUGUAAUUCACUGGUGUUCACCUUUACAAGGUUCAAGAGAAGAAAGCCUCUCACUAGACUCUGUAAAUUGCAGAAUUUAGAACCAUCAGACUGUGAGCUUGGGAUCAGGUACAGGAAAGGCCUAGGAAAGGCCCAAAUUACUAUAAGAAAUGAAAGAGGCAAAUAUGGCUUAAUGAUUAAGAAUACAGAAUCUGGGGGUGCCCACGUGGCUCAGUGGUUAGGUGGCCAACUUUGGCUCAGGUCACGAUCUCAUGGUUUGUGGGGUCGAGCCCCACGUCGGGUUCUGUGCUGACACCUCGGAGCCUGGAGCCUGCUUCGGAUUCUGUGUCUCCCUCUCUCUCUGCCCCUCCUUUGCUCAUUUUCUGUCUCUCUCAAAGAUAAAUAAACAUUUUUUAAAAAAUGCAGAAUCUGGCUAAGCCAGCCACGGAAUUGGUUCCUGGUUCUGCCACUUACUACUUAUGUGACCUUGAGUGGCUUAUGUAGUAAGUUCUUGGGCAACUUCUCUGGGUUAGUCUUCUUACCCGAAAUGGAUAAACAUGGCUACUUUACUGGGUUCUUUUGAAGGUUAAAAGGGGUGGUGUGCAUAAAAAUGCCUAGGGUAUGGGGGUGCCUGGAUGGCUCAGUUGAUUAAGCAUCUGACUCUUGGUUUUGGUUCACAUCACGAUCUCAUGGUUCAUGAGAUCGAACAGCCUGCUUGGGAUCCUCUCUCCCACUCUCUGCCCCUCCCCCACUCACGCUGUCUUCCUCUCUCUCAAAAUAAAUAAAUGAACUUAAAAAAAUGCUUAGUGUAUAAUCUAGUAUACAGUAGAUGUUUUACCAGUGCUGGUCCCGUUUCUUCCCGGUUUUCUUGAGAUUCCGGGGUUGCCUAGCACCUUUAGGAAGAACUCAAGAACUGGCCUUGCUUUUGAAGGGUCCUUAGAAUCUAGGGGGCUGGCUUAGAUCUGGGGAGAGGCUACAUUUUGGCUUGGGUGGGAAUGGGGUUCUCAGGAAGUAGAGUUUGUAGUUUGAAUGGGAAGGGUGAAGUGGUGAUUUGGGGUCCUUGCCCUAGUCCAAGCUGCUGUCAACUCAUUAUAAGAUCUCCAGGCUUUACCCUUUGAGCCUAGUUUGUUUCUCUGUAAGAAGAGGCUGGACUAACCUCUGAAGAAAGCAAUGCCAGCCAGUGAGAAACAUCUGGAAUCACAGGGCAGUGAGGCCUUGGUUGGGGGCUGCCUUCCUCAGCUUAGCAGUGACUGUCAGAAGGCAGAGAUUAACCAACCAUUUGUCCUUGAAACCUCAAAAAGGGUGAACUACUCAUGCUUCAAGACUCAUGUGCCAUUUUCUCCGAGGGACAGGAUCUCUGGCCCAUCCUCCCGGCAGUGAGCUGGCCAUGUGUGCCCAUACUUACCUUGGACUUACUCUAUAAUAGAAUUUAUGAAAUGGAA